GCAUCCAUAGCUCAGCUGGUAGAGCACCUGACUCUUAAUCAGGGUGUCCAGGGUUCGAACCCCUGUGGGUGUACCA
rnacentral:tRNA from 1 species